GACGAACGCUGGCGGCGUGCUUAACACAUGCAAGUCGAACGGAAAGGCCCUGCUUUUUUGCGGUGCGCUGGGUGCGAACUGGUGAGUAACACGUGGGUAAGCUGCCCUUGACUUUGGGAUAACUUCAUGAAACUGGGUCUAAUACCGGAUAGGAGCUCCUGCUGCAUGGUGGGGGUUGGAAAGUUUCGGCGGUUGGUGAUGUACUGGCGUCUUAUCAGCUUGUUGGUUGGGUAGUGGAUUACCAAGGCUUUGACGGGUAGCCGGCCUGAGAGGGUGAGCGGACCAACUGGGACGGAAAUAAGGCACAGCCCCCAACGGGAGGGAGGAGUGCGGAAUAUUGCAUAAUAGGAGGAAGCAUGAUGCAGUCACGCAGCGUGCGGGAUGACGGCCAUCGGGUUGUAAACCGAUUUCGCCUGUGACGAAGCGUGAGUGACGGUAACGGGUAAAGAAGCACCGGCUAACUACGUG
rnacentral:rRNA from 1 species